UGGCUGCGCUGUCAGCUAGCUGACUCAUAAUCGGCAGGCCGUAGGUUCAAGUCCUACCGGGUCCACCA
rnacentral:tRNA from 1 species